GGCAAAAUCACCCAGAAAAACAAGAGCUACCUUACAGAAGAAUGUAUGCGCUUACUUGAAACCUGCAUUUUGUGUAAGAAAGAUCUCAGAGUGAGAACACCUUCUUCUAUGAUGAGCUGUGCACACAAAAAGGGCAAGAAAUGAAAUCUGGAACGUUUUGCUCUCUUCAUAAAGAACCUACUCCAGACUAACAGAUUCUGCCAAAUUUACCUUAUGUGGGUCCUAAUGCAGUGACUAGAGUCCCUCUAAGAAGAGGGAAAUUUGGACUGAUACACAGGAAGAAUGCCAUGUGACUCCAGAGGUAGAGACUGGAGUGAUAUAUCUACAAGACAAGGAAUCCCAAGGACUGGAAGCACUAGAAGUCAGGGAGAGGGAAGGAAGAAUAACUCUCGAGAGCCUCUGGAGAGAGCCUGGCUCUGACAACAUCUUGAUUUUGGACUUCCAGCUUCUAGAAUUGUGAGACGAUAAAUAUCCGUUGCUUUGAAUCACUUAAAUUGGUAGUAUUAUGUUAUGGCAGUCCUAGUAAACUAAUACAAUGGUCAUUAUUUCUGGACAGAAUUGUGUUGUCGUCCAAUGCCCAAAAGAGAACAUCUUAGGCACUAGUAAUAGAUUGUGUUCUCCAUUUUAUUUCUAUGUAAGCGAGACCAUAAAAGAUGUGUGUUGGUUAAUAAUGAGACUAAAAUGUUGAAUUCUGACACACAUAAAUGUCAAUUACAACAGAAAUUUGGAGGUAAGGAAGUUUCAAGGAAAACAUUUACUUUACAAGUAAAUGUCAAAAGAACUUCAAUAUUCAAACUAUAAAAAUAUAUUAGAAAAUAUCUGUAAAUUUAGGUCAGGAAUAUAU
ensembl:lncRNA